rfam:Strigamia maritima strain Brora ctg7180000821095, whole genome shotgun sequence.
GUCCCUAUAGCGCAGUGGAUAGCGCGCUGGACUUCUAAUCCAGAGGCCGUGGGUUCGAAUCCCACUAGGGAUG